CUUCGAUUUUACGGAGUGUGCCCUUACCCUCCUGCUCGUAUCCAUCUACACGCCUCUUCUUAGAUUAGGAAGUGUGUUUGCCCUUUCCCCCUUUCUGGUAAACUCAUCUCCUCUCCUAUGGCUUGGUAGCUCAACUGAUCCUUUGUUCCUACUUUUCUUCUUCGUAUUCGCUCCAUUUACCCAAUCUAUCCAGGUAUAAUACCUUUGAACAUCAAGAACACCCAUUAGAUUUGUCCUCGGUUUUUAUUUCUCUGAUCAAGGCGUUUCGUCAGCCUCCGUACUCCUCUGUCUUGAAUUCGGCAUCAAUACGUUACAUCUGGUUUCCCUCUAUCUCAAACUCUUCUUUCUCAUACUUUCAUUGAUCUAGGGUUCCUCAUUUCACAAGUUUUGAGAAACAACCAUCACAAUUCUUCAAAACACACGGAAUUCGCAGAAAUCCUAAAUUAGCCCCUUCAUAAAUAUCCCAUCUUCUUCCUAAACCCUAAAUAACCAGGUUUUUUCAAUUCAUCAGGCUUCUCUGCAUACGAAAAGCAAGACAGAAAGAGGAUUGAAGCUGAUAUAAUUGGAGCUUGUUAUUUUGUCAAGUUUAUACGAAAUUGAAGGUUUACUCUUCAAAAUCUUUUUGGCUAAAACAAACAUGGCGGCUUAUCUUCUCCGCAACAUUUCUUCAGUAAUCGAUAUGAUCAGCUCAGUGCCUAAUUGAGAAGAAGUGUCUUGCUUUUCAGGUUUUGUGUAAUUUGUGUUUUCUUUAAUUAACUAGCAUAUUUUCUCAAUCUACUCUUGCGUGAUUGCUGGUAUGGAUUGUUUCUUGUAGAUUAGUUCCCAAGAUUUAAAAAAUAAGGUUCUGGAACCCGAGUGUGUAUUAGAACAGAACCUCGAGCUUUCUUUCUUUCCUUCAAUUCUACUGGGUAGCUUAUGCUGAUUGAGAUGGUGUUUCUUUCAUGACCAGGACAACGAAUCAAAGCAUUGGUCUUCUUUCCUAUACAUGUCUUUAAAAGGUUUCAUAGUUGUUGUCAGCGGCUGCCAUUCCUGUAUUUUAUGGAAUUGGCAAUCCCAAAGAUGCAGAUCAAACAAAGGCUAAAAGCGAUCAAAUUUUGGCAUCUUCUUUUGUGGGGGACGGUGGAGCAAGCUGGAGAAUGCUGGCUUUGAAUCGCACCAGGAGCAAGCAACACGCGAGGGAACAAAUGGUUCUGCAGUUGUUAAAGAAAGGUGAUAACAGCAGGUUGAUCAAAUUAUUGGAACAAAACUGAAGAGGUAUUCUGUAGUACCGAAUUUUAGGCAGCUAAGAUUAGAAGAAGAGGAAACUUUCUAGGAAGUAGUAAGAAGGUUAUAAUUGCAACACCUAGGCAGCUGGAGAGUUUAAUACGACUUAGUGAAGCAUUGGCACGGAUGCAUUUCUCUGAAUGGAUUCUUUGUAUUUGAAUAAAAUGAAGGGAAGAGUUCCGGAAAAUACUUCCAGCAAGUGGCCAAGAGUUUCGGGUGGCUCUUACGGAGAGUGGUGACUAGUUCCGGAAAAUAUUUCCGGUAGGUGGUGAAGGGCUUUGGACAAUAUUUCCAGAGGUUUAUCACGGAUUCCGGAAUUUCACUCCGGUUGUUUAAUUGGUUGAGAUGUGAGAUGUGACUGAAGCUAUUCGGCUAUUAGAAGUUGCAUUGCACCAAACAACAACUGAUCAUCCCAUAGGUAAAGGUAAAUGCUGUUUAGCCCCUGAAUGGAUUAGCUAAAUGUGAUUUUUAGAAAGUCAGUCUAUCAGAGAAGCUUGAAUUAGAGCUUCCUUUCACAACUUUCACCUAUAUAUAAUUUCAUCUUAUUUUACUUUCAUUAAUUUCACUUUCUCCCUUUUCCUUGUUCAGUCUUUUAACUUCCGGCUCCUUUCUUGUUUGAUUGGUCAUGUUUGAUUGGUCACAGUGAGUUAAUUACGAUCUCCUAUGUCGAUUCAUGUUAGCCGACCCCAAAACAUUUUGGACGAAGGCUUUGUUGUUGUUGUUGUUGUUGUUGUUGUAGGAGAAGAGUGCAGCCGCGAAGAAGACUGCAGAGGGGAAUUUAUAUCAUCAAAAGCAUGCUCGUAGAGGAUAUUCUAGCUUAGACACCAAAAACUUCAAGCACAUCCGCUAAUAUAGCUCUACCCCACACAGCAGCAGUAUAUAGUCAGCAGCAGUAAGCUUCUGUCAGCAGCAGCAGCAGCUGACUAAUCUCCCUUUGUUGGUUCUUAUUCUAGCUAGUGACAUGAGAGCAUCAAUUGUAGGCUCACUCUUAAUUUGCCCCCUCUUAGUAUCUCUCCUUGUACACCUCAUCACCCCCUCUUAACAAGAGUUAGUUACCAAAAACACCAAGAAAUAGACUAUCUCUUAAACACUACAUCUUAUAUAGUUUUUUAAUAUUUUUAAUUUUAUUUUUAAUAUUUUUAAUUUUA